GAGUUUGAUCCUGGCUCAGAGUGAACGCUGGCGGCGUGCCUAAUACAUGCAAGUCGAACGAUGAAUCUUCUAGCUUGCUAGAAGUGGAUUAGUGGCGCACGGGUGAGUAAUGCAUAGGUUAUGUGCCCUUUAGUCUGGGAUAGCCACUGGAAACGGUGAUUAAUACUGGAUACUCCCUACGGGGGAAAGUUUUUCGCUAAAGGAUCAGCCUAUGUCCUAUCAGCUUGUUGGUGAGGUAAUGGCUCACCAAGGCUAUGACGGGUAUCCGGCCUGAGAGGGUGAUCGGACACACUGGAACUGAGACACGGUCCAGACUCCUACGGGAGGCAGCAGUAGGGAAUAUUGCUCAAUGGGGGAAACCCUGAAGCAGCAACGCCGCGAAGAGGAUGAAGGUUUUAGGAUUGUAAACUCCUUUGUUAGAGAAGA
rnacentral:rRNA from 1 species